UACGUAGGGUGCAAGCGUUAAUCGGAAUUACUGGGCGUAAAGCGUGCGCAGGCGGUUAUGCAAGGCAGAUGUGAAAUCCCCGGGCUCAACCUGGGAACUGCAUUUGUGACUGCACAGCUGGAGUGCGGCAGAGGGGGAUGGAAUUCCGCGUGUAGCAGUGAAAUGCGUAGAUAUGCGGAGGAACACCGAUGGCGAAGGCAAUCCCCUGGGCCUGCACUGACGCUCAUGCACGAAAGCGUGGGGAGCAAACAGG
rnacentral:rRNA from 1 species